GACGAACGCUGGCGGCGUGCUUAACACAUGCAAGUCGACCGGUAAGGCCCUUCGGGGUACACGAGUGGCGAACGGGUGAGUAACACGUGGGUGAUCUGCCCUGCACUUCGGGAUAAGCCUGGGAAACUGGGUCUAAUACCGGAUAGGACUCCGGACUGCAUGGUCUGGGGUGGAAAGCUUUUGCGGUGUGGGAUGGGCCCGCGGCCUAUCAGCUUGUUGGUGGGGUGAUGGCUUACCAAGGCGACGACGGGUAGCCGGCCUGAGAGGGUGACCCGCCACACUGGGACUGAGAUACGGCCCAGACUCCUACGGGAGGCAGCAGUGGGGAAUAUUGCACAAUGGGCGCAAGCCUGAUGCAGCGACGCCGCGUGAGGGAUGACGGCCUUCGGGUUGUAAACCUCUUUCAGCAUCGACGAAGCGAAAGUGACGGUAGGUGCAGAAGAAGGACCGGCCAACUACGUGCCAGCAGCCGCCGUAA
rnacentral:rRNA from 1 species